AUGGUUAAAGAUCUAAAGAAAGGUCAAUCAGAAGUCAAUAUGUUGGAUCAGAAGAAAGGAAGUCGCUCAGAAGUUGAAAAUCUGCAUCAGACUUGGAAGACCAUCAGACUCUGAGGAAUAUAGAAUCAUGAGGGACCCAGAAGACACGUCAUAUUUGUCCUCUUCUGUAGAUGUCUCAAUCAAGACUCUGAUAGUACAAUUUGUCCUCUUCUGACCACGUGUAAAAAUAAACAAAGAACUUCAAGAACAAAGAGAAUGAACGGAUAAUUCCCGUUGUAGUAAAGGAAUUUCAAAUGUCUAAUCAACGACAUUGUCCAUAUC
rnacentral:lncRNA from 1 species